UACGUAGGUGACAAGCGUUGUCCGGAUUUACUGGGCGUAAAGAGCGCGCAGGCGGUCGAUCAAGUCGUGCGUGAAAUCCCUCGGCUCAACUGGGGGUGGUCGUGCGAUACGGUCAGGCUUGAGGCCAGUAGGGGGACGCGGAAUUCCGGGUGUAGUGGUGGAAUGCGUAGAGAUCCGGAGGAACACCAGCGGCGAAGGCGGCGUCCUGGACUGGUACUGACGCUCAGGAGCGAAAGCGUGGGGAGCGAUCCGG
rnacentral:rRNA from 1 species